UCUCCUCAUUUUUAGUUAAGAAAACUGAGUAAUACAACAUCUAGCCUUCAGUCGAGUGAUGACCUCUCCCUGAGCCUUCUACAGUGCUCCUUCUCAGUUCAGACCAACCUGUCCCUUUCUAAAAGCCAGGAGUUCUCCCAGCAUGCAAGGGAACAGACUCUCCAAGCUGAAGAGAGCAGUGUGAAAAUCUGCUGAAGCUCAACAGGGAGUGCUCCCAAGAAGAAACAAGAG
rnacentral:lncRNA from 1 species